CCAAAUGCGAAUUCUACUGCUAUUUUUACUAUCAUGGUACAGGGAUUGCCUAAGAGUUUGGGGGAUGAUAGGGUUGUACUGCUCGAGUAUUUUCAACAUAGGUAUCCUGGUAAGGUUUAUAAGGUUAUUGUUCCUAUGGAUUUGUGUACAUUGGAUGAUUUAGCCUCUGAGUUGAUUAGGGUGAGGGAUGAAAUUACUUGGUUAGUUGCUCGAAUUGACUCUAGACUUUUGCCUGAAGAGAAUGAUAAUGACAUUAUGGGAGAGGGUUUUGUGGAGAGAUUAAGGGGCUGGGUGAUUUAUUUGUGUGGAAGAGUGAAAAUUAUGUGGGAUCAGAUGAUGGAUGGAUUGGGUUACACAGAUGAAGAGAAGUUGAGGAAAUUACAAGAAAUGAGAGCAGAAUUAGAGUCCGAUUUGGCAGCAUACAAAGAAGGCCGUGCACCAAGUGCAGGAGUUGCAUUUGUGAUUUUUAAAGAUGUUUAUACAGCUAAUAAAGCUGUUCAGGACUUCCGCAAUGAGAAGAUGAGGCGUUUUGGUAAGUUCUUCUCUAUUAUGGAGUUGCGGCUGCAAAGGAACCAAUGGAAAGUCGAACGAGCCCCACUGGCAACAGAUAUUUACUGGAACCAUUUGGGUUCGACAAAGCUGUCACUGAAGCUUCGGAGAUCAUUUGNAUGCUUACUGUUGAUGCUUUUGUUCUUUAGCUCUCCCCUUGCGGUUAUAACUGCCCUGACGAGUGCUGGCCGGAUCAUUAAUGCCGAAGCAAUGGAUAAUGCUCAAUCAUGGUUGGCCUGGGUGCAAAGUUCCAGCUGGUUUGCAUCUCUGAUUUUCCAGUUCUUGCCUAAUG
rnacentral:misc_RNA from 1 species